rnacentral:tRNA from 1 species
GUUUUAAUAGCUUAUUUAGAGUAUAGUAUUGAAGAUACUAGGGAAACAGCUUUGUUUUAAAAUA